CAUGCUUUCUUCUGUGCAUCUGGGUUGGUUUUGCUGAACACACUUCUGUCUUGCGGACAAACUGAAGAUAAACCCAAACCUAAUCUCAGUGUGUCUUCAUCAUGGCUGAGUCCUGGGGCAUCAGUGACUCUACACUGCAGUGUUAGAAAUCACUCUGCAGAAUGGAGGUUCUACUGGUAUCAGGCU